GCGUAGGAAUCUACCCAGUAGCGGGGGAUAAGCCAGAGAAAUUUGGUCUAAUACCGCAUACGCCCUUCGGGGUAAAGGACAGGGAGUCUUCGGUACCGUUCGCACUAUUGGUAUGAGCCUGCGUGAGAUUAGCUAGUUGGUGAGGUAAUGGCUCACCAAGGCGACGAUCUCUAGCUGGUCUGAGAGGAUGAUCAGCCACACUGGAACUGAGACACGGUCCAGACUCCUACGGGAGGCAGCAGUGGGGAAGUAUUGCACAAUGGGCGCAAGCCUGAUGCAGCCAUGCCGCGUGUGUGAAGA
rnacentral:rRNA from 1 species